rnacentral:rRNA from 1 species
GAUGAACGCUGGCGGCGUGCCUAAUACAUGCAAGUCGAGCGAACAGAUGAGGAGCUUGCUCCUCUGACGUUAGCGGCGGGCGGGUGAGUAACACGUGGAUAACCUACCUAUAAGACUGGGAUAACUACGGGAAACCGGAGCUAAUACCGGAUAAUAUAUUGAACCGCAUGGUUCAAUAGUGAAAGACGGUUUUGCUGUCACUUAUAGAUGGAUCCGCGCCGCAUUAGCUAGUUGGUAAGGUAACGGCUUACCAAGGCAACGAUGCGUAGCCGACCUGAGAGGGUGAUCGGCCACACUGGAACUGAGACACGGUCCAGACUCCUACGGGAGGCAGCAGUAGGGAAUCUUCCGCAAUGGGCGAAAGCCUGACGGAGCAACGCCGCGUGAGUGAUGAAGGUCUUCGGAUCGUAAAACUCUGUUAUUAGGGAAGAACAAAUGUGUAAGUAACUAUGCACGUCUUGACGGUACCUAAUCAGAAAGCCACGGCUAACUACGUG